rnacentral:antisense_RNA from 1 species
CACGGUCUUCUGCUUGUAUAAUUUGACCAGGUACCCAGAAGAGUUCUCCAAAUACUACUGUAUUCGCAG